rnacentral:lncRNA from 1 species
UCUUGUUGAUCGCCACGUGUGGGAGCGGCUAGAGAACGUCACUACAGUAUUCUGCAUGUUAUUCACCAGUUAUUUUUCCUUUCACGUCUGUUAUGCUGAAAGAUUGUAGUCUACUUUGGAAUUCGUUCAAAGGGCACUUUUGGUAUUAACCCAGACCAUGGAAGCAAGGCUGAGAAAAAA